GGUCCUAUAGUAUAGUGGUUAGUACGUUUGGUUUUGAUCCAAAAAUCGCUAGUUCGAACCUGGCUAGGACCU